rnacentral:rRNA from 1 species
GACGGUAACAGGCCGCAAGGUGCUGACGAGUGGCGAACGGGUGAGUAAUGCAUCGGAACGUGCCCAGUCGUGGGGGAUAACGCAGCGAAAGCUGCGCUAAUACCGCAUACGAUCUAUGGAUGAAAGCGGGGGACCGUAAGGCCUCGCGCGAUUGGAGCGACCGAUGACAGAUUAGGUAGUUGGUGGGGUAAAGGCUCACCAAGCCGACGAUCUGUAGCUGGUCUGAGAGGACGACCAGCCACACUGGAACUGAGACACGGUCCAGACUCCUACGGGAGGCAGCAGUGGGGAAUUUUGGACAAUGGGCGCAAGCCUGAUCCAGCAAUGCCGCGUGCAGGAAGAAGGCCUUCGGGUUGUAAACUGCUUUUGUACGGAACGAAACGGCGAGCUCUAAUACAGUUUGCUAAUGACGGUACCGUAAGAAUAAGCACCGGCUAACUACGUGCCAGCAGCCGCGGUAAUACGUAGGGUGCAAGCGUUAAUCGGAAUUACUGGGCGUAAAGCGUGCGCAGGCGGUUUUGUAAGACAGUCGUGAAAUCCCCGGGCUCAACCUGGGAAUUGCGAUUGUGACUGCAAAGCUGGAGUGCGGCAGAGGGGGAUGGAAUUCCGCGUGUAGCAGUGAAAUGCGUAGAUAUGCGGAGGAACACCGAUGGCGAAGGCAAUCCCCUGGGCCUGCACUGACGCUCAUGCACGAAAGCGU